rnacentral:rRNA from 1 species
CAAUAGCGUAUAUUAAAGUUGUUGCGGUAAAAAAGCUCGUAGUUGGAUUUCUGUUGAGGGCGACCGGUCCGUACUUGGUACGUGCAUCUGGCUUCGGCCUCGGCAUCCUCUCGGAACACGUUUCUGCGCUUUGUUGCGUGGGGCGGAUUCCGGGACUUUUACUUUGAGGAAAUUAGAGUGUUCACGGCAGGCUAACGCCAGAAUACUGUAGCAUGGAAUAAUACUAUAGGAUCUUGAUUCUAUUUUGUUGGUUUCUAGAGUCGGGAUAAUGAUUAAUAGGGACAAUUGGGGGCAUUCGUAUCAACACGUCAGAGGUGGAAUUCUUGGAUUGUGUUGCGACGAACUACUGCGAAAGCAUUUGCCAAGGAUGUUUUCAUUGA